rnacentral:rRNA from 1 species
UACGAAGGGGGGCUAGCGUUGCUCGGAAUCACUGGGCGUAAAGGGCGCGUAGGCGGCCAUUCAAGUCGGAGGUGAAAGCCCAGGGCUCAACCCUGGAAUUGCCUUCGAUACUGUUUGGCUAGAGACCGGAAGAGGUAAGUGGAACUGCGAGUGUAGAGGUGAAAUUCGUAGAUAUUCGCAAGAACACCAGUGGCGAAGGCGGCUUACUGGUCCGGUUCUGACGCUGAGGCGCGAAAGCGUGGGGAGCAAACAGG